rnacentral:rRNA from 1 species
CCUACGGGGCGCAGCAGUGGGGAAUAUUGGACAAUGGGCGAAAGCCUGAUCCAGCCAUGCCGCGUGUGUGAAGAAGGCCUUCGGGUUGUAAAGCACUUUCAGUGGGGAAGAAAGCCUUGGGGCUAAUACCCUCGAGGAAGGACAUCACCCACAGAAGAAGCACCGGCUAACUCCGUGCCAGCAGCCGCGGUAAUACGGAGGGUGCGAGCGUUAAUCGGAAUUACUGGGCGUAAAGCGCGCGUAGGCGGUCUGAUAAGCCGGUUGUGAAAGCCCCGGGCUCAACCUGGGAACGGCAUCCGGAACUGUCAGGCUAGAGUGCAGGAGAGGAAGGUAGAAUUCCCGGUGUAGCGGUGAAAUGCGUAGAGAUCGGGAGGAAUACCAGUGGCGAAGGCGGCCUUCUGGACUGACACUGACGCUGAGGUGCGAGAGCGUGGGUAGCAAACAGGAUUAGAUACCCUGGUAGUC